rnacentral:rRNA from 1 species
AGCGAACGCUGGCGGCAGGCUUAACACAUGCAAGUCGAGCGGGCGUAGCAAUACGUCAGCGGCAGACGGGUGAGUAACGCGUGGGAACGUACCUUUUGGUUCGGAACAACACAGGGAAACUUGUGCUAAUACCGGAUAAGCCCUUAAGGGGAAAGAUUUAUCGCCGAAAGAUCGGCCCGCGUCUGAUUAGUUAGUUGGUAGGGUAAUGGCCUACCAAGGCGACGAUCAGUAGCUGGUCUGAGAGGAUGAUCAGCCACAUUGGGACUGAGACACGGCCCAAACUCCUGCGGGAGGCAGCAGUGGGGAAUAUUGGACAGUGGGGGCAACCCUGAUCCAGCCAUGCCGCGUGAGUGAUGAAGGCCCUAGGGUUGUAAAGCUCUUUUGUGCGGGAAGAUAAUGACGGUACCGCAAGAAUAAGCCCCGGCUAACUUCGUGCCAGCAGCCGCGGUAA